rnacentral:rRNA from 1 species
GACGAACGCUGGCGGCGUGCUUAACACAUGCAAGUCGAACGGAAAGGCCCUGCUUUUGUGGGGUGCUCGAGUGGCGAACGGGUGAGUAACACGUGAGUAACCUGCCCUUGACUUUGGGAUAACUUCAGGAAACUGGGGCUAAUACCGGAUAGGAGCUCCUGCUGCAUGGUGGGGGUUGGAAAGUUUCGGCGGUUGGGGAUGGACUCGCGGCUUAUCAGCUUGUUGGUGGGGUAGUGGCUUACCAAGGCUUUGACGGGUAGCCGGCAUGAGAGGGUGACCGGCCACAUUGGGACUGAGAUACGGCCCAGACUCCUACGGGAGGCAGCAGGGGGGAAUAUUGCACAAUGGGCGGAAGCCUGAUGCAGCAACGCCGCGUGCGGGAUGACGGCCUUCGGGUUGUAAACCGCUUUCGCCUGUGACGAAGCGUGAGUGACGGUAAUGGGUAAAGAAGCACCGGCUAACUACGUG